UACGGGGGGGGCAAGCGUUGUUCGGAAUUACUGGGCGUAAAGGGCUCGUAGGCGGCCAACUAAGUCAGACGUGAAAUCCCUCGGCUUAACCGGGGAACUGCGUCUGAUACUGGAUGGCUGGAGUUUGGGAGAGGGGUGCGGAAUUCCAGGUGUAGCGGUGAAAUGCGUAGAUAUCUGGAGGAACACCGGUGGCGAAGGCGGCAUCCUGGACCAAUACUGACGCUGAGGAGCGAAAGCCAGGGGAGCAAACGGG
rnacentral:rRNA from 1 species